AAGGUGUCAUGAGAGCUCCCUUAUGCUGAGCCCUUAUAAUCAACACAAAGAAACAUUUGCAAAAGGGAGAGAGAGACUUGUGAAGAGUGGAAGUAAGGCUACAAUACCAAGCUUUUUAAGAUCGAUUUCCUGAUUGAAGUGAAAACUGGAGACUGACUCAGGCAGCUGCUGGAGGCCGUUUUAUCAGCACCUUGCAUGCAUCUCACUGGUCAACAAAGUUUUUUGUCUCUGUACUUACUCUUAU